GCGGCAGUAGUAUAGUGGUUAGUAUAUGACGUUGCCAACGUUGUGACCCGAGUUCAAAUCUCGGCUGCCGCA
rnacentral:tRNA from 1 species